ACAGAGGUCUUCUCUUGGCCUUCGGUCUUCACUCUUCCGUCUGUCCUACUUUCUGCGGCUCGUGUGCUCUCUCUCUUCCUGUCUUCUCUCUUCCAUCAACCACGACGACCAGACGACCACCCUUCUAGGCUCCUUACUGGCUCACACUGCACGGCCUGCACAAGCACAACAGCACCACCAUCCGGCCAACGGUCCACCGGCAUCCCGUCUAUCUUUUCUAACUGGUGACAAAUGUCCAGGCUCAUUGCUUGAGCAAACAAGCUUAGCAAUCACAAAAAAGUUCCAAGCCUAUGUUAAAGAAAAAUAUAAAGAUUAUUGAAUAACAACAAAUCCAAUUACCAGUUACUGAUAAAGGCCUUAAGAAGUCUGCAAGGCAAGCUGCCUUUACUAGAGGGAAGCCAAAGCAACAAUGGAGUGAGGUUAGCUACACUUUCUCUUUUUGAGUCCAAAGGCAGUAGAAGAAUUAGUUUAUGCAGGCGAUUGGAUAAAACAGUAUGGCGACCCUAUGAAUCUUGUACCGGUAUUGCUAAGGGUGCUGCUGAAGAUGAGAUAGCAUGACAUGAUUCAACAUCAAUUCAAACAUAUUAUGCAGUAACUACUAACAAAAUAUUAAGUAUUGUUCUAAGUUCGGUAGUUGUUUUGUUUUUAAAUGCUUGAUUUUACCUUGAUGACAACAUUAUCAGCUGAAUUUCUUUGGAACACAGUCAAUAUUGAUUUUUUUUAUGCUAACAUUUUUAUUUUUUGUUAGGUUCUAUUGUUAGAAACUUGAAAGGAGAUUUGCAGAGUGCUUUUUACUGACAGGCAUCAAUCUUAUCUAUCAAUAUGAAGUGAAGGGACUAUUUUUUAUUUCUUUCUCCUACAAAUUUUGUGUACACAACUAUUAAAGGCUCAAUUAUUGACCUAUUAAUGUGGAAUAAUUUUAUGUACAUCAAUCUCAUACUUUUUAGUUAUGAACAUUUUUAUCUCAUUAUAUGUUGUUCUUAGAGUUGCCCAGAUGUUGAGUUGAUUGUUCAUGUGGACAAAAAAUACCAAUUUCAGAUUAUUGGUACUUUUUGCCUGCAAAAUUUCUGGUCUUAGGCUCAAUGGCACGAUGGGAUAUGCAGUUGCAAACUUCCCCUCCUUGAGAACAUUGUGAGUAUCUUUACCAUGGAUUUUAUUCAACCUUGCUUUUGUUGUUGUAGUACUGCAUUCUUUUAGAUGAUAUUGUCACACAUGGAAAAUAUGGGAUUUAUUGAAGUGUAAUUGUUGGUAAUCCUUUUGGGAGAGUUAAGGGUUUUGGGUUGCAUGUGCAGCUUAUAACAGGUUACGUUGAAUAGAAAGGGAAAAUGCUGUAAACCAACCACCAUCAAAAGGCCUCAGUGCAAAAAAGAAGAGGAAGACUGCGCAUUAUUUCUGCUGCUUCACUCUGAGCUCCUUUUCCUGUUUCAUUUUUCCUGGAAUAAUCUUUGUUUGAUGAUGGUUUGUAAAAUGGUUUUAUCCAAAUGACUUUGGUAUGGUGUUGAAAUUAGUAUUGGUCACUGAUCAGCACAAACGAUAAUACUCACACCAAAAAUAUAUUCUCUUCCUACAGUUAUGCCUACAAAUUUUUCUGCCAAGAGUAUGACAAGGCAUAAGGCACUCAGUGGGGAUACCAUGAUUAAAUAAACAUAAAACCAUGACCUACAAAUGUAUCACUGAUUGCUAUGAGAUGCACAGUAGGAAGUUUAAUCUAUUUAGUCAUUUGGUUAAAGUCUUGAAGCACAUCAAUAGAAUGGUGUCUUAUCAAUCUUGAGGAUUAUUUAUCAUGUUCUAUUGGCAUAUUCUAGUCAUAGAAUACUUGUCUGCGGUUGAUUAACUUGCUGCCAUUAGGUUUUUGUGGAGUGAACCGCAUAAAACAGUCACUGAACUUUCUUUUGCCAUAUGAAUCCACCAUGGAGAGUUCAGGCACAUCCAUCCUCAUGGAGAUCUUGUUAUCUUUAUUAGCAAUCGGAAGAGUGACUAGUUCAUGCUCAUCACAGGGAUCAUGGUUCUGUUUCUUUUUUUUUUUUGUGUUGCCAGCUAAAUGGCCUGUUGUGCUUUCUCUUUUUGCCUACAGUCACUUUGAAAUGUUAAUUGACAAUUGAACUAGUGAGAUGUUGGCAUUUUGAGGUUUUGACUGAACUGAUAUGCACCAUUGCAUCCUUAUGCACUAGGCGAUGGACAGAAACUUUAGCUGCAAAAUGCACUCCAUUAGAGAGCUACAAAGUUGGCAAUCUUGCGGCGAGGGUGAGGAGAGAAAAGAUCAGUGAGCGCAUGAAGUUUCUUCAAGACUUUGUUCUUGGGUGCAGUAAGAGUCAUCCCAUGACCUGCUUGCCUUCUGGUUCGGAUUCUUCAGUCGCAUGGUGCUUCUUCAACUGGUUAUGUACAUGACAUGAAUAUGUUCAUCACAACCUCCAACAAAUGCAGCAAGGACUAAUUCAAACUGCCACAGCUGGGUGAGGAGCGAAAAGAUCAGUGAGCGCAUGAAGUUUCUUCAAGACUUUGUUCCUAGGUGCAGUAAGAGUCAUGCCAUGACCUGCUUGCCUUCUGGUUCGGAUUCUUCAGUCGCAUGAUGCUUCUUCAACUGGUUAUGUACAUGACAUGAAUAUGUUCAUCACAACCUCCAACAAAUGGAGCAAGGACUAAUUCAAACUGCCACAGUUGGGUGAGGAGCGAAAAGAUCAGUGAGUGCAUGAAGUUUCUUCAAGACUUUGUUCCUGGGUGCAGUAAGAGUCAUGCCAUGACCUGCUUGCCUUCUGAUUCAGAUUCUUCAGUCGCAUGGUGCUUCUUCAACUGGUUAUGUACAUGACAUGAAUAUGGUUCAUCACAACCUCCAACAAAUGCAACAAGGACUAAUUCAAACUGCCACAGUUGGAGUCCCAAAUAUUGCAAUCGCCGGUGGUGGUGGACUUGCUGCAUAGUGGAGAGCCGAUCGUAGUCGCCUGAUGAGUGACGACAUCCCGGUGCAUUCUCCAACAGUGGUAUCAGAGGUGGUGGACUUGCUGCAUAGUGGAGAGCCGAUCGUAGUCGCCUGACGAGUGACGACAUCCCGCUGCAUUCUCCAGCAAUAAUUUGACUGUAAUGGGAUUAACAUUGGCCCCUAAAGUUGGAGUUGAGAGUGGUUCAAUUGCAAACCAGCUAAAUAGAUUUGGAGUUGAAUUCGGUUUGGCACCAGCAAAACACUUGAAAGAGAAAAAACUUUUAUGCUGUAC